GACGAACGCUGGCGGCGUGCUUAACACAUGCAAGUCGAACGGAAAGGCCCUGCUUUUGUGGGGUGCUCGAGUGGCGAACGGGUGAGUAACACGUGAGUAACCUGCCCUUGACUUUGGGAUAACUUCAGGAAACUGGGGCUAAUACCGGAUAGGAGCUCCUGCUGCAUGGUGGGGGUUGGAAAGUUUCGGCGGUUGGGGAUGGACUCGCGGCUUAUCAGCUUGUUGGUGGGGUAGUGGCUUACCAAGGCUUUGACGGGUAGCCGGCCUGAGAGGGUGACCGGCCACAUUGGGACUGAGAUACGGCCCAGACUCCUACGGGAGGCAACAGUGGGGAAUAUUGCACAAUGGGCGGAAGCCUGAUGCAGCAACGCCGCGUGCGGGAUGACGGCCUUCGGGCUGUAAACCGCUUUCGCCUGUGACGAAGCGUGAGUGACGGUAAUGGGUAAAGAAGCACCGGCUAACUACGU
rnacentral:rRNA from 1 species